GGAGAGAUGGCUGAGCGGUCGAAGGCGACGGUCUCGAAAAUCGUUAUACUCCUUGUGGGUAUCGAGGGUUCGAAUCCCUCUCUCUCCGCCA
rnacentral:tRNA from 1 species